rnacentral:lncRNA from 1 species
CCUCAAGGGUAGUUGCAGGUGCAUUCACUUGACCUCUACGAAGGAUGAACAUUUCCCAUGAGUUUUCCACUUGUGUUUCAUCCUUGAGUUCCCUGUGGCUGAGCUGUGUGUGCAGAGAGCACCUUUCUCUCUCCUUGGGAAGCCCUUUGAAUGUAGAAACUCUGCAUUCCUCAUUCCUGUGCCCUCCCUCUCCCCAGUGGCUAGGACUUAACACCAAAGGGUGCUCAGGAAACAAAUGGAAGCAGGGCACUAACCAACUCCAGGAGGACUGGGAGCAUGUUUCCCGCUGAAUCCCUGCCAUCUUGACCACUGCCUGGCAAGAGAAGACACUCUACCAACAUUUUUUUAGGUGCAGUGAGAUUAGUGGUAAUUUAAAAAGCAGGAUUGCCUCUGUGUCAAUUUCCCGCUAAUGAGCAAAACUCGCCGUGUAAUUGCUAUGUAUUGAACGAAGCAACAAUACAUUUUCAGUGGCUGUUUAAUAUGCUGGGGCUUGGUUUAACAGAUGUUCUGAGACUCGCUUUCCAAGACGGAGGAGCCAAGCCCAGAAGAAGAAGGUGACAUUUCCCUUUCUUUUGCCUCUGUCCAGUGCUGCAUCCCUUGGAGGGCAUGAGGCAAGGCCACGUGAGACACAGUCGGUGCUAGAUUCCUGGAGGCAGAGCUGAGGGUAGGUCUUGAAACCAGCGAGGGUAGCAAGCAGAGGAAGAUGACGAUCCAUUCCUCUUCUGAUCUUCACUAUAAGGGGCACCAAGCCCUGGGUCAUGACAAGGUCUUAUAUUUAGCAUGGACUUGCAACCAGUAAGUGCUGUCCCUUGCUAGCUCUGUGACCCUCUCAUGUGACUUUAACCUCUCUUGAGUCUCAGCUUCACCAUCUUUCGAAUGGGGAUAACACGUAACAUAUCUCAUGAGGAUGAAAUGAUGAACGAACAGGGCCGUUCCCCUGCCUGGACACUCUUCUCUAGAGUGUCUGCAUGUCUCUCUCCCUCACUUGGGUGCAUGGACGCCUACUGUCCAUUGCCCUCCUCUGUCUGCCUCUGGCAAAUGCUUUGUGCUGGGGGUUGGUGGAUAUGAAGGUCAAAUGUCACCAUCUUCCUAGGCCUUUCCAGAAUGCCCUCUUGCCUGCUCUCUCCUUGACAUGCUCCACGUUUCUCCCAUAGCACCUGACACCCUCCAACACUCUGUGUUAACUCACAUAUUUUUGUUUGUUUGUUUCUCACCCUCUGUCUCUCCUUAUUAGAAGGUAAGCUCCACGAGGGCAAGGAUUUAUGGCCUUUUUCUUCCAUGGAUGACUCUGAAACGCCUAGAACAGUACCUGGCACACAGUAGGUGCUCCACUAAUGCUGAAUGAAUGAUGCAUGUGGAAGGCUGAGUCUGGUUCCCACAACACAGU